GUAAAUGUAGCUUAUAUAGAGUUUUAUAUUGAAGAUAUAAGGGAAAUUUUUAUUUUUUUACA
rnacentral:tRNA from 1 species